CCUACGGGAGGCAGCAGUGAGGAAUAUUGGUCAAUGUGCGCGAGCCUAAACCAGCCAAGUAGCGUGAAGGAUGACUGCCCUACGGGUUGUAAACUUCUUUUAUAAAGGAAUAAAGUGAGGCACGUGUGCCUUUUUGUAUGUACUUUAUGAAUAAGGAUCGGCUAACUCCGUGCCAGCAGCCGCGGUAAUACGGAGGAUGCGAGCGUUAUCCGGAUUUAUUGGGUUUAAAUGGAGCGUAGAUGGGUUGUUAAGUCAGUUGUGAAAGUUUGCGGCUCAACCGUCAAAUUGCAAUUGAUACUGGCAGCCUUGAGUGCAGUUGAGGUAGGCGGAAUGCGUGGUGUAGCGGUGAAAUGCUUAGAUAUCACGCAGAACUCCGAUUGCGAAGGCAGCUUAC
rnacentral:rRNA from 1 species